ensembl:lncRNA
AAUCACUCCCAGGACAGCUUCUGCUCAACGCAAAUGCAAGAGGCUACAAGAGACAACUUAGAUGCUGACCUGGACAUGAGAACACUGGAGCAUGAGUAAACAUGAAAGAAGCAGAUUUGGGGAGCAGCUGUUGAAGGAAGAGCUUGAGGCUGUGGCUCUGGGGCUGGAGAAGGGAUUCUACGCUUGGGAAGAAAUUGACCUGGCUCAUGAUUCACAGGGCUUUACUCCUCUUAUCAGUGCCUGCAGGAGGGGUCUUACUAAGGUGAUGCAGUUCCUUCUGAAAAGAGGAGCCGAUGCUAUGUUGUGUAACCAUAGCAACCAGACAGCUCUUCACGUUGCACUCCAAGAGGAGCUGUUGACGGCUAUGAUCAGACGUACCCCAUCAGAGGCAGCUCUCACUAGCAGCCUGGAGGGGAGACCUCUGCUGUCUACAGGACCUGAUGGUGAGCGGCUCAGACUUCAACUUCCACUUGCCAUUUGA